UUUGAAACAGGGACUUCCAGGUUAUAGGUAGAUUUAAAACUUUUCUGAUUGGCAAUUGGUUGAGUUAUUAUCCAUAGAAAGGAAUUGUCUAGGUUAUGAUAAGAGGUUG